GUGGGGAAUAUUGCGCAAUGGGGGAAACCCUGACGCAGCGACGCCGCGUGAGCGAAGAAGGCCUUAGGGUUGUAAAGCUCUGUUUUAAGGGACGAAUGUCGUGGGGAGUAAUAUGCUCUGCGAAUGACGGUACCUUAAGAGGAAGCCCCGGCUAACUACGUGCCAGCAGCCGCGGUAAGACGUAGGGGGCGAGCGUUGUCCGGAAUUACUGGGCGUAAAGAGCACGUAGGCGGGAACUUAAGUCAGGUGUGAAAGACCGGGGCGCAACUCCGGGGUUGCACUUGAAACUGGGUUUCUUGAGGGCAGGAGAGGAAAGCAGAAUUCCUAGUGUGGCGGUGAAAUGCGUAGAUAUUAGGAGGAACACCAAUGGCGAAGGCGGCUUUCUGGACUGUAACUGACACUGAGGCACGAAAGCGUGGGGAGCAAACAGGAUUAGAUACCCUUGUAGUCC
rnacentral:rRNA from 1 species